CUUAGCGGCGGACGGGUGAGUAACGCGUGGGUAACCUGCCUUAUACAGGGGGAUAACAGUUAGAAAUGACUGCUAAUACCGCAUAAGCGCACGGGAACGCAUGUUUCUGUGUGAAAAACUGAGGUAGUAUAAGAUGGACCCGCGUCUGAUUAGCUAGUUGGUGGGGUAACGGCCUACCAAGGCGACGAUCAGUAGCCGGCCUGAGAGGGUGACCGGCCACAUUGGGACUGAGACACGGCCCAAACUCCUACGGGAGGCAGCAG
rnacentral:rRNA from 1 species